CCUGUAUUCAAUGCUUUUGGGUAUAGAGGAGUUGAAUUGCUAGAUUAUAUGGUAAUUCAAUUUUAGCUUUUUGUCAAACUGUUUUCCACCAUUUUAAUUUCUUAUCAACAAUAUAUGAAGGCUCCAAAUUCUCUAUAGCCUCGUCAACACUUAUUUUCCGGUUGUUUUUUUUUCAGUUAUCUUACAGCUAUUUCCUUAGCUUUUUAUGCACUUAGCACCAGUUCAUCUUCAAAUUCUCCCAAGUGUUUAGAUAUCUUCUCAGUCAUUCUAAUCUAUCAAAUAUCUCAUCAUUUUCAUCUCCUUGAAGGAGUUUCUCCCAGAAUGUCUUGACUCGCUGCAGCAUGAACUACUUAUCCUAUAGUCAUCCUGGGAUCCUGGGAUCUUCAUGAUCAUCCUGGACAUUCCUCUCCUGUGUUGUUUCUAUUUCCUGGAUCUAAUCUCAUUCUCUUCUUGGUUUACUUUCUCAUUUUGGAGGACUACUCAGCCACAGUACUCUUGGAAAGAUUGUGUAAGAGAUAUAUGAUUUUAGUUUGAAUAUAACACAUAUAUUUUAAUGGGUGUAUCUAUUUUCUCCUACUCUCACAAUUUUGGUAAUUUAGUUAGGUAUAGGAUUCUAGACUGGAAGUUAUUUUGUCUUAGUUUUUGGUACUGGGGAUUUACCCCAAAGGAAAUUUACCACUGAGCUGUUUGACUGUUUUUUUCCCACUAAUGUCUUUUGUUUCUUUCAUACAUCACAAUAGUGGACUGCAUUACAUUCAUAAUAAUUCAUUCACAACACAAUUUUUCAUAACUCUGUAUAUAAAGUAUGUUCAUGCCAAAUUAUGACAUUAUACAUGAGCUCUCUUAUUGAUUUUUUUGCAUUACAAUUCUUUUUUUUUUAUUUUUUAGUUCUU
rnacentral:lncRNA from 1 species